rnacentral:tRNA from 1 species
UGGCUGAGUGGUGAAGCACUAGGCUUCCAAACCUGGGGCCAUGGGUUCAAAUCUCAU